CCUACGGGCGGCAGCAGUGAGGAAUAGUGGUCAAUGGACGAGAGUCUGAACCAGCCAAGUAGCGUGAAGGAUGACUGCCCUAUGGGUUGUAAACGUCUUUUAUAAAGGAAUAAAACGAGGCACGUGUGCCUUUUUGCAUGUACUUUAUGAAUAAGGAUCGGCUAACUCCGUGCCAGCAGCCGCGGUAAUACGGAGGAUCCGAGCGUUAUCCGGAUUUAUUGGGUUUAAAGGGAGCGUAGAUGGGUUGUUAAGUCAGUUGUGAAAGUUUGCGGCUCCACCGUAAAAUUGCCAUUGAUACGGGCAGUCUUGAGUACAGUUGAGGUAGGCGGAAUUCGUGGUGUAGCGGU
rnacentral:rRNA from 1 species